rnacentral:lncRNA from 1 species
GUGUCGUCUGAACCGAAUAAUAUAAAAGCAUGUGUGAGUCUGUAUUUGUGUGCUCUGGCUUCGGCACGCAACAAUAACCAAUUCCUUGAAAUGUGGUCUCAGAAUCAAGUUCUGCUGUGAAUAGUCUUCAAGGUAUAGUAGGUUUAUUCACCGCAGCCAAUGGGCUUUCGUAACCGUCUGCAGAUCCCGGCAGACAAAAGCCUUCUCAUAAUAGACAGCUGAUGACAGAAAACUGGAGGACGGAACGUUUUUUAUUGACUCGUUCUGAUUACAGUGGCCGGGCAGAGGCCAAGGCAGCACACAACAACGGAGGCAGACAGACAGCACGUACAAGGUUAUGGAGUAAGCUUUUCAAAAGGCUCUGAAUCAACAACUCCAUAUUGGGAACAGUUGACCUCAUGAAGAAGGUCAAGCUGUGUGUAUGGAGACCGAGACUCUACUUAACACAUCAGCUUGAGAUGACAAUGUGCUUCAACGCUACAAGAUAAUUGCCCCAGUAAGCUGGGACUCUAUGACUGAAAGACUGGCACAAGGCUACAGGACGUCAGUACUUAUCUGUGGGAGUCGACUCGCCUCGGCCCAGCAAGACCAGGGGGACAAAGAACUGUGUAACAGAGCAUGGGAGUGUGUGUGUAGGGGGGGUAUAUAUGUAUUUAUGUGGUUGCGUGUGGGGAAGGCGACAUGUUUAUAUUGUGUGUGAUGUCUUGCUAUAUAACACAGGAAAAAAAAACUCAACCCGCUCCUUCCCUCCAAGAAGUCUCAAUCUGUCUUUUUAAGGAGCAGGCUGGCAGGCAGGCAGGCAGGCAGGCAGGCGCGCGCACACACACACACACCAGCCCACUGUCUGUCUUCAUACUGCAAUCAGCGUCCCCACAGGAAGCAUCUAGCCUCAUGCCCCCGGACUGGGGUCAGAGAGCAACUAUCACACCAUUCUCAACUGGCCUCUUUCUAUCUCUCUUUCCCUUCCUUCAUCUCUCUCUCUACCUCCCUUUGUGUAUAAAUCUGACUCUCUGUGUCUCUGUCACUCGCUCGGACUCCACUUAACCAGAGCACAGAGUUUGAGUGAGUUCAGCGAACACAGACAUCACUAUUUCAAAAUCCUCUAGUGGUACAUUGCAGUCCUGAACUAGUCCUGUCUAGUCCCCAUUGACUAUUUUGAUUUUGUAAAGAGUUCAUCAGCAAGGCAAACUGUUUACACUCUGUCGAACACUAACUAUGCAGCAUUUUCAUGUCUCGAAAACACUCAGUUGUUUUUUGGAUAUACAUACUACAUUUUGCCAUUUAGUUUUCCAAACAGAGUCCUUUAGAAGAGACUGCCUUUAAGUGUUUUCAACAGUCAGUUGUCAAAACAAGAACAGGCUGUUUUUAACACUGUUAUAUGCAAAUCUGCUCUAGGAUCAGUUCCAGACGAUAAUAAAACAUGAUUAAACACGGAGUGUUGGGAUUUAUCGCUAAUGAUUUAUGCUUUACAGCACAGUGAUGAUGAUAU